AGAGUGUGCCAACAGCUUAGAUAUAGAGUGUGAGAGAGAAGAGUGGAGGCUGGUUCUCAGGCUCCAGAAGCAUAAGCCUGCAUGGAGCAUAGCGUCACUGAGCAAGACAGGUGUGGAGGAUGAGAAGCGGGCCACAGGAUGGGAAGGGAAUCUGUGUGGAGGCGGUGCCCUAAACAUGCUGCCUUGAGGAGGGACCUCUACAUGGGGUGGCCGGGCACAGCCAGGCUACCCAUGGGGACCUCAACAGCUUUGCCAUUGCACACUAUCUUUGCAGACAAGAUCUUAAUCACAUCCAACUUUCUGCAGUUGCACAGGGUACCUCAGACCCACAUCCCAGAUGACAUUCCUCAGAAGCUCGCAGCUGGAGAUGACAUCACCUUAGACAACAUCACCCUAGCCCAAGACAUCGCUAUUAGAGAUACAUCACCUGGACACUAAAGCCUCCAACCCAGUGACACUCUCAAGGUGCUGACAAAAUGGACAUGGACAUUUGUUGCUUUUCUUCUUUUGAAUUAGGAACUCUAUUGUGUUUCCUGAAUUUACUGUCUGCUUGGCCCAUGAUCCUGGUAUGUUCCUUGCUCUCUGCCAAAACAUGCACCGUCCCCUCCACACCUAAAGGAAAACCUGGUAGAAGCUACUACUCUCAAUGCCAUUCUAAAAUUGACGAAGAGUAUUAUUUUCCCCAAGAGGCAGCUGCUGCAGGCCAGUGAAUCCUCUGGACCCUGGGGAGAGGGUCAUACACUCCCUAGUGACUUCUACUGUAUGCUCCAGCUUUCCACCAGGACCUCCUGCCCUGUCCCCAACUGUAACGACCACAACCACCCCAUCCCCUUGGUUACACACAAAUAUCACCAGUCUUUACAUGUACUUUACUGACUUCUCAGAUAAUACCCUCCAACAAGAUAACUGCAGGACUUGCCACCAUGACCUGAGAAAUACACCAAGAUAUUAUUGUCCAAUUUUUUUGAGAUAUAUAUAUAUUUCUCAUACUUUUAACAUACUCUGCAAUCCACCAAGAUAUUGGUAGAGACCCUGGAAAUUUCAAAUCUAUUUCGUCUGCUAAUGCCAUGUGAAUGGGAAACUUAGAUACAGGCUGGCCUACAAGGACUCCUUAUACUUCAAUUUUUGUUCCUCCUUUCAACUCUCAUAAAAAAUAUUUUCUGUACUAUUUAGGGCAAAUGAUGGCCUUCUUUCUAAGUCUCAUCCAUCAUUGCUGCAAAGGUGCCUUAGUUUGAUGUUAAAGUGUCACAGGGCCAAUGUAUUGACCAUGUUUCUGGCGUCUAUAAAGUCGAUGUUUUAAUAUCUGUC
rnacentral:lncRNA from 1 species